GACUACAAGGGUAUCUAAUCCUGUUUGCUCCCCACGCUUUCGUGCAUGAGCGUCAGUAGUGACCCAGGGGGCUGCCUUCGCCAUCGGUAUUCCUCCACAUCUCUACGCAUUUCACUGCUACACGUGGAAUUCUACCCCCCUCUGCCACACUCUAGCCUUGCAGUCUCAAAUGCAGUUCCCAGGUUGAGCCCGGGGAUUUCACAUCUGACUUACAAAACCGCCUGCGCACGCUUUACGCCCAGUAAUUCCGAUUAACGCUCGCACCCUACGUAUUACCGCGGCUGCUGGCACGUAGUUAGCCGGUGCUUCUUAUGCGGGUACCGUCAUCUACUCAGGGUAUUAACCCAAGCAAUUUCUUCCCCACCGAAAGAGCUUUACAACCCGAAGGCCUUCUUCACUCACGCGGCAUGGCUGGAUCAGGCUUGCGCCCAUUGUCCAAAAUUCCCCACUGCAGCCUCCCGUAGG
rnacentral:rRNA from 1 species